rnacentral:rRNA from 1 species
CCUACGGGACGCUGCAGUGAGGAAUAUUGGUCAAUGGCCGGAAGGCUGAACCAGCCAUGCCGCGUGAAGGUCAGUGCCCUAUGGGCGUUAAACUUCUUUUGUGCGGGAGCAAUAAUGGUCACGUGUGGCCAGACGAGAGUACCGUACGAAUAAGCAUCGGCUAACUCCGUGCCAGCAGCCGCGGUAAUACGGGGGAUGCAAGCGUUAUCCGGAUUUAUUGGGGUUAAAGGGUGUGUAGGCUGUGAGGUAAGUCAGCGGUGAAAAGCCCCCGGUCAACGGGGUGAAGUGCCAUUGAUACUGCCUUGCUGGAGUGCGGGUGACGUGGGAGGAAUGUGUGGUGUAGCGGUGAAAUGCUUAGAUAUCACGAAGAACCCCGAUUGCGAAGGCAGCUUACUAACCUGUGACUGACAUUGAUGCUCGAAAGUGUGGGUAUCAAACAGGAUUAGAUACCCUUGUAGUC